ensembl:misc_RNA Vault Vault RNA
GGGCUGGCUGUAGCUCAGCGGUUCCUUCAUCUAUACAGUGCAACUUUGUUUCACUAAAGGUGCCAGCUCUGCCCCUUCAGCCCUGUGGGCGCUCCCCAGCCCAUUU